UUGUAGUCUGCAACUCGACUACAUGAAGCUGGAAUCGCUAGUAAUCGCGAAUCAGAAUGUCGCGGUGAAUACGUUCCCGGGUCUUGUACACACCGCCCGUCACACCAUGGGAGUCGGGAAUGCCCGAAGUCAGUGACCCAACCUUUGGAGGGAGCUGCCGAAGGCAGGUCUGAUAACUGGGGUGAAGUCGUAACAAGGUAGC
rnacentral:rRNA from 1 species